GAAUGCAACCGCAUUCAGCCGUGUUCCGUAUCGGGGAUGAUCAAGGCUAAACGUCAUCGAGAUAUCUAAUAAGAGGGCGUGUAUUAAGUUUUCUACGCGGGCGAGGAAAAAUGUUUCACGGUGCGGUGGUUUACCAGUGUCGAGGGCAGUGUCGGAUAAUUUUAGCAAGAAGCAGAAGCGGAGGAAGCGGCCAAAGAAAUUCAGGAGCCAAAUUUUGUGAGCAGGCGAGAAUUUUACGCGCGAUACAGUGAAACAUAACCCUGCCAAACACCGGUUCCACUUGGCGCAGAGACAUUUUCACUUGUGCUAGACUAGCCAGCGAAUAGUAUCCGGGAACCAAAAUUAAACUGAUUUGCAAGUUGCUGCGUACGCAACAAAAAUAGACAAACGUUCGAGCCGUAUACUUAUUAUCCGCACGUUGCAUCGCGGAUUCAGGGCAUUCGCGAUAUAUGCAUGCAGCUGCGUGAGUAUACGUAUUACGUGAUUUUGGUAACGUUAUCUGAAUGUAACACAUGUUUAUCAA